CGAGCGGCCAAAGGGAGCAGACUGUAAAUCUGCCGUCAUCGACUUCGAAGGUUCGACGCGAGCAAUAGUGAGAGAACGUUGCCGCACGCAACGGUCCGAAGGGUGCUGUGCUUUAGCUCCGUAUAA
rnacentral:sRNA from 1 species